GAUGAACGCUGGCGGCGUGCCUAAUACAUGCAAGUCGAGCGAACGGACGAGAAGCUUGCUUCUCUGAUGUUAUCGGCGGACGGGUGAGUAACACGUGGAUAACCUACCUAUAAGACUGGGAUAACUUCGGGAAACCGGAGCUAAUACCGGAUAAUAUUUUGAACCGCAUGGUUCAAAAGUGAAAGACGGUCUUGCUGUCACUUAUAGAUGGAUCCGCGCUGCAUUAGCUAGUUGGUAAGGUAACGGCUUACCAAGGCAACGAUGCAUAGCCGACCUGUGAGGGUGAUCGGCCACACUGGAACUGAGACACGGUCCAGACUCCUACGGGAGGCAGCAGUAGGGAAUCUUCCGCAAUGGGCGAAAGCCUGACGGAGCAACGCCGCGUGAGUGAUGAAGGUCUUCGGAUCGUAAAACUCUGUUAUUAGGGAAGAACAUAUGUGUAAGUAACUGUGCACAUCUUGACGGUACCUAAUCAGAAAGCCACGGCUAACUACGUG
rnacentral:rRNA from 1 species